rnacentral:rRNA from 1 species
AUGGACGACAGCUGCGCGGUGUGCGCGGACGCGCUGGAGUGGGUGGCCUACGGGCCCUGCGGCCACCGGGAGGUGUGCUCGACCUGCGUCGUCCGCCUCCGCUUCGUGGUCGGGGACCGCCAUUGCUGCAUCUGCAAGACGGACUGCCCCUCCGUCUUCGUCACCAAGGCCAUGGGGGACUACACGAGGGUCAUCUCCGAUUUCUCCGCCUUGCCCGCCGCGGCAGGCGAGGGGAAGGUGGGGGAGUACUGGUACCACGAGGAUUCAAGGGCCUACUUCGACGACGCCGACCACUACAAGAUGAUUCGGGCCAUGUGCCGGCUCUCCUGCAGCGUAUGUGAAAGAAUCGAGGCGGAUCAGGCCGGUCAGGCGGCCGCAGCGCAGGCGAAGCGCGGAGACAGCACCUUCGAGACCAUUGGCCUGCUAAGGGGGCAUUUGUCCGAGAAGCAUGGCUUACGCAUGUGCAACCUUUGCUUGGAGGGCAGGAAGGUGUUCAUCUGUCAACAGAAGCUCUACACGCAGGAACAGAUGGCUCGGCACACGCAAACAGGCGACACUGAGGUGGAUGGCUCCGAGGUCGAACGCGGUGGCUUUGCGGGACACCCGAUUUGCGAGUAUUGCAAGAGGGCAUUCUAUGGAGAUAACGAGCUUUACGCGCAUAUGACCAGAGACCACUACUCGUGCCACAUAUGUCAAAGGCGGCAUCCUGGGCAGUACGAUUAUUUCCGGAACUACAAUGAUUUGGAGAUGCAUUUUCGGAAAGAUCACUUCCUCUGCGAAGAUGACGCGUGUUUGGCCAAGAAGUUUGUUGUUUUCCAGAGCGACGCGGAGAUCAACAGACACAAUGCUAUGGAGCAUGGUGGGCGGAUGUCUCGUGCCCAGAGGAAUGCCGCACUUCAGAUACCUACCAGUUUUAUGUACCAAAGGAAUGAGCGAGAUCAAAGGCGCGGCAGAGGUAGGGGCCGUGAUGCUCACCAUGACAGAUCUGACAGGGAUUUCUCAUUACCUGUGGAUGGCAGUGCAACUGCAGACCAUGGCCUUGGAAGUCGACUUGAUAGCGCAGGGGGUUCCGCGAUGCUUGCUGAUGAAUCAUUGUUCCCUCCAUUGCCUGGGUCAAGUAACAAGUGUUCUGCUUCAACACAACAGGGGCUGCAAGGUCUUCCUAAGACCACUCUUGCAUCAAGGCUUCAACAAUCUAGGGAGGGCACCGUGAAGGUACUAAAUUCUGGUCGGCCUCAAACUGCUCAAAAUCCUGAGAUAGUACCUCAUGUUUCCACUUCCACCCACACACGUCCUACACCUGAGCGGGAGCGGAAUGGCAGUGCAACUGCAGAGCAUGGCCUUGGAAGUCUAGUUGAUAGUGUUGCAGGGCCUUUACAGUCAUCAAGUGUCAGUUCGGCCAGUUCUCGUCGAAGCUUAGGGAAUGGUCGCGUGCUUGAACAAUUGUCUUUUCCUCAUCUUCAAGGCCGGGAUAUUCCUGAUGCUAGGAUGGAUGCUGUUUCAGAGGAAACCUCGUUUGCUCCCCUCUCAGAGCAACAAUCAAGUAAUACGCUGGCUCUUAAUCAGAGCUCAAGGGGUUCUGAGAGGCUUGGUGAUGUGUUCCUUCCAUUGCCUGGGUCAAGUAACAAAGGUUCUGCUUCAACACAACAGGGGCUGCAAGCUUUUGCUAAGAACAAACUUGCAUCAAGGCUUGAACAACCUAGGAAGGGCACCGUGAAGGUACUAAAUUCUGGUCGGCCUCAAACCGCUGAAAAUCCUGAGAUAGUACCUCAUGUUUCCACUUCCACCCAGACAUGUCCUACACCUGAGCGGGAGCGGGAUGGCAGUGCAACUGCAGAACAUCAUGGCCUUGGAAGUCUGGUUGAUAGUGUUGCAGGGCCUUUACAGUCAUCAAGUGUCAAUUCAGCCAGUUCUGGUCAAAGCUUACGGAAUGGUGGCGUGCUCGAACAAUUGUCUUUUCCUCCUCUUGGAGACCAGGAUAUUCCUGAUGCUAGGAUGGAUGGUGUUCCUGAAAAAACCUCGUUUCCUCCCCUCUCAGAGCAUCAAUCAAAGCAUGCACUGGCUGUUAAUCAGAGCUCAAGGGGUUCUGCGAAGCAUCAAGCAAAGCAUGCACCGGCUGUUAAUCAGAGCUCAAGGGGUUCUGCGAAGCAUCAAGCAAAGCAUGCACCGGCUGUUAAUCAGAGCUCAAGGGGUUCUGCGAAGCAUCAAGCAAAGCAUGCACCGGCUGUUAAUCAGAGCUCAAGGGAUUCUGCGAGGCUUGGUGAUGAAUCAUUAUUCCCUCCAUUGCCUGGGUUAAGUAACAAGGGUUCUGCUUCAACACAACAGGGGCUGCAAAGUCUUGCUGAGAACACAUUUGCAUCAAGGCUUCAACAACCUAGGAAGGGCGCCAUGAAGGUACUGAAUUCUUGUCGGUCCCAAACCGCUGAGAAUCUUGAGAUAGUGCCUGAUUUUUCCACUUCCACCGAGGCAUGGCCUACGCCUGAUCAGGGGCUACAUCUCUCUGGGUCUUCUCACCUUCGGAUUGUACCUCAAUCGACAAGAGAUAAUGGGCUCAUGCCACCUGCCUCCAGCGGUUCAGCAUGGAAUUCCAGAGCUCCAAUCAAGAUGAAGCACUCUGUUUCUACCCCUAAUCUUGUUUCUGGUGCGUCCUCUACCCAGGCAUCAUCAAGUAGAGCUUGUGGCAAUAAAAACCAAGUGCCACCACAAAGCAGCCAACCUUUGCCUGUUGCGGAGGAUGUUCGGCAAGCAAACAACGCCCUUGUGGAAAGAAUGCGUGCUGCAUUUGGAAUGGAUGAGGAUAGGUUCUCUGCGUUUAAAGAAAUUGCUUCUGAAUACCGUCACGGCGUCAUUGGUACUUCGGAGUAUCUCUCCUAUGUGGAGCAGUUUGGUAUAUCACAUCUUGUUCCUGAAAUGGCUAUACUGUUGCCUGAUCCUCUGAAGCAGACCGAGCUUGCUGAGGCCUAUUACGCCAACAUGCGCUCUAAAAGCCUGAAAGAAAAUGGCAGCUGUGAAACCAUUACCUUGAAAGAGAAAUUGCUUCAGGAAGGAGAGGCUGUAGUGCUUUCGAAGGAUGGGUAUCGAUCUUCCAGGGAAAGAACCCCACUAUCUGCUGGAGGUGAUCCAGUUGCCAUUUCAAAGGCGUCUAGCACCAGUAGGUUUGUGGGCAAGGGUGGAGGAAGCAGCAGCAGUAAUAACAACAGUAAACAAUCAAAGAAGACGUCGAAGUUUCUCAGAGCUCGGUUGGGCGACAACUCUUUGGCUAUGCUUGAUUUUAGGCAUCCUGAUGAUGUGAGCCCUGAAGGAAACGUUUGGAAGAACGGUGUGGCGCAGAAGCUCUUUUCUGGCAGUGCAAAGAAAUAG